AGACUGUAACUGCCAGAGCAGCG
rnacentral:piRNA from 1 species